AGACUGGUGCUAGCAACACGGGAUUGGCUAACGCAUCCUCUUGCUGUUCCCGGUGUUUGGGCCUUGCCUGUGACAGUGGGAAAAAAAAUGGCCUUGCUGUGCUACAACCGGAGCUGCGGUCAGCGCUUCGAUCCUGAGACCAAUUCCGACGAUGCUUGCACAUAUCACCCAGGCGUUCCAGUCUUUCACGAUGCAUUAAAGGGUUGGUCUUGCUGUAAGAGAAGAACAACUGAUUUUUCUGAUUUCUUAAGCAUUGUAGGCUGUACAAAAGGUAGACAUAAUAGUGAGAAGCCACCUGAGCCAGUCAAACCUGAGGUCAAGACUACUGAGGAGAAGGAACUAUCUGAAUUAAAACCAAAAUUUCAGGAACACAUUCAAGCCCCUAAGACAGUAGACGCGAUAAAAAGACCAAGCCCAGAUGAACCAAUGACAAAUUUGGAAUUAAAAAUAUCUGCCUCCCUAAAACAAGCACUUGAUAAACUUAAACUGUCAUCAGGGAAUGAAGAAAAUAAGAAAAGAAGACAAUGAUGAAAUUAAGAUUGGGACCUCAUGUAAGAAUGGAGGGUGUUCAAAGACAUAUCGGGGUCUAGAGAGUCUAGAAGAAGUCUGUGUAUAUCAUUCUGGAGUACCUAUUUUCCAUGAGGGGACGAAAUACUGGAGCUGUUGUAGAAGAAAAACUUCUGAUUUUAAUACAUUCUUAGACCAAGAGGGCUGUACAAAAGAGAAACAUGUGGACUAAAAAAGAUGCUGGGAAAAAAGUUGUUCCAUGUAGACAUGACUGGCAUCAGACUGGAGGUGAAGUUACCAUUUCAGUAUAGGCUAAAAAUUCACUUCCAGAACUUAGUCGAGUAGAAGCAAAUAGCACAUUGUUAGAUGCGCAUAUUGUAUUUGAAGGAGAGAAGGAAUUUGAUCAAAAUGUGAAAUUAUGGGGUGUGAUUGAUGUAAAGCGAAGUUAUUAACUAUGACUGCAACAAAGAUUGAAAUCACUAUGAGAAAAGCUGAACCGAUGCAGUGGGCAAGCCUUGAACUGCCUGCAGCUAAAAAGCAGGAAAAACAAAAAGACGACACAGCAGAUUGAGUGGGAGAUGGGAGGAAGGCUAUUACGUAUUUCAGAAUUUUUAAUACUGUGUGAAGUGGUGGCUUGCUGCUGUCAUCUUUUGUUUUGUUGUUGUGUUACUGAAUGUGGCAUUUCAGGGUUAACAUUAGGUUCUUAAAAGCCAAAGUCAGUUUAUCUUUUUGUGCCUCUCAUCUUUCUUUCGUGUUAUGUAAGAUUGAUUAUUCGUUUCUCCCUACUGGUAGGAACCAUAGUUGUGUCCUGUACUUGAAGAGGCUGAAAAAUAGCCCAUAACCAUAAUUGCAGUAUUUCUUUGUAUUUCUCUGUUAAGCAAAGAAAUAUUAAGGAACUUUUUUUAUGUCUUUGUAUUAUUCCAUAAUUAGUAAAGCUAAUUGUGAAUGUCCAAUUUUAAUGAAAUGUCCAAUUUUAAUCAGUUUUUUUCAUGGAUUUGUGUUCUUACGGUACUUGAAAAUAUUUAAGGAAGAGAUGAAGCUCUGCAGUUUUUUCUAUGUGGGAUGAUUGCUUUUUUAAGGAGGAUUAAUUCUGAGGUAGUAUAGUAAGUAAAGGGGAAUAUAUGAAUUGUUAACAAAUUAGGAUUUGUUUACAACUACUUGAAUUUUUAAAUUAUGUCAAAACUUACAUUACUUGCCAAGCAGUAUGAUGUAAGAGUAUAGGAAACAUAAAUAAGAAUACAGAGGUAUCAAUUUGAUUAAAAUUCACCAUUUUAUAAGACUAAGCAAUAAUCUUAAAAACCUCUUUCCUGAAUAUUUAAAUGUGUUUGUAUGGUGUUAUGACUAAUUGUUACUGAUUUACAGACUAAGCCCUCUUAAAACCUUUAGUUAAAUAUAAAAAGAAAUUAUAUAUAUCUUGCCUCCCUGAUGGAAAACUAUGUAAAAUUGUAGACUUAAAAGGUUUGUGGAGGCCGGGCGCGGUGGCUCAUGCCUGUAAUCCCAGCACUUUGGGAGGCCGAGGCGGGCAGAUCACGAGGUCAGGAGAUCGAGACCAUCCUGGCUAACACGGUGAAACCCCGUCUCUACUAGAAAUACAAAAAUUAGCUGGGCGUAGUGGUGGGUGCCUGUAGUCCCAGCUACUCAGGAGGCUGAGGCAGGAGAAUGGCGUGAACCUAAGAGGCGGAGCUGGCAGUGAGCUGAGAUUGCGCCACUGCACUCCAGCCUGGGCGACAGAGCCAGACUCCGACUCAAAAAAAAAAAAAAAAAAAAAAAAAAAAAAAAAAAAGUUUGUGGAAAUACAUUAGGAUAUCAGAAAACUAAAUAUAUGGAGUUGCUUUAUGACUAUUACAUGUUAAAUAAAAUAGCUUGUUUUGGAGUUUUUUUUUUUAAAGUCAUGAAGAGCUUCACAAUUCUAGUGAUACAGUGUUGAUUAUAUAUUGUGCUUUAUUUAUUUUAAAUAUAGGUAACACAGAAUUAGAUCGUUUGGAUAGGUUUUGAUGCAGUGCAGAGCUUAAGAAGAAAAAUUAGGAAAUAUUCUGAAGGCCAGAACUCUGGAAGAACUUAGAAAGUUUGGGAAUAAAUUAAACUUACAUAGAUUUAAAAUUAAAAGGGGUUUAUUUCCCAAACCCCUUGAGUCUUUUCUUUUCCUUGGCAUUUGCGGAAUUCUUACAAAGAAAAAUUUACAGAAGUACUAUUUUCGUUAAUAAAGCAUAUAUAUCAUUCUACUACCAUUAGCAAAUAACUUAGUUGUAGUUAAUAUAAUUGUUAAAAGGUUUAGCUCUGUUACAAAUAAAAACAAAAAGAUCUGGCAACCAGACUCAUGAUGUUACACUACCAUGACAAGAAACUCUGGGCAGUGAAAGUUGGACCCACAUGGAGUACAUAAACAUCUGAUACUGGGAGAUGUAUUUAAAAUUUUUCAAGUUAUAUUCCAUGAUUUAGGAACCAUUUAGAGACAUGAAGUCUUUAUGGGUUGGGGGAAAGGUUGAUACUUAGUUUGAUUAAAGGUAAUGAUUAAUAUGCCUUUUUGUUAAUACUUCUUUCUGAGGCUGUCUUCCCCUAAACAGUAUCUUAAUCUGUUAAAUGUAAUUGAAAUAUUAUUUGAAGCAGUGAGUUAUUGUAACCUCAGAUUAGUUACAUUGAUCAAAACAUUGAUUUAUACACACACACACACACACACACACACACACGCAGCUUUUAUAUUUAGUCUGGUUACAUUAGUGACCAUGGUAUUUCCUUUCUUACUUCUUAAGGAGCCUUUGAAUUUCUUGUCCAGAUAAAAAUCUGAAUAAUAUUUAUCUUAGACUCAUACAUAAAGGGACACAGUUACCGUUAGGUAGCAUAUGUUUUACUAUCGGUUUGUCAAAAAAGUUAAUAAAAAAUGCUUAUUGAUUUGUUUCUCUAA
rnacentral:lncRNA from 1 species